AAGUCGUAACAAGGUUUCCGUAGGUGAACCUGCGGAAGGAUCAUUAACGAACAAAAGAUUUACUUGAUUAAAUCUUUUGGGAUCAACCAAAAACCCUGUUAGAAGUAUACUGAAUACACUAUAUAAUAAAUAUUACAAAACUUUCAACAACGGAUCUCUUGGCUCUU
rnacentral:misc_RNA from 1 species